CCUUGCAACAUUGAUGAAGAGUAAAAAUGAAAUUAUAUCUUAGUCUAGAAAAAGUAUUGAAGCAUAUAAUAACUAUACCAAAGCAUUGUUAAAUAAAAUUGAACCGCUCUUUAACAUAGUUAUAAAGCACCAUCUGCAACUAUAUCAUGCGACGGUAUUAAGAGUUUUAUUUUUAACCCAAUAAGGAUGUUAAACGACACUUCAUCUUAUAACGUCUGUGUUGAAAAUUAAUCUGGAUUUAUAAAUAUAUAACAGUGAUAUUCGUAACAUUUUUUCAAGUAAGACACUGCCAAUAUAGGUAUAAAAUGUACAGUACAGUAACAUUACUUUAAGGAGUACGAGAAAAAGAAUUAUCGCUAAUGCAUGUGAUGGCGUUACUGAAACUGUGCCAAGAAAGGUGUGGCUUCAAAAAUACUACUUACUAUUCCUAACUAUUCAAGUUUCCGACCAACAUAGAAGUGUAAAAAUGUGCAAAAUUCAGAUGUGUGAAAGUGUGAAAAUUGUCAGCUUAUUCCACUCGUUGUAGAGAAAAAUCUGUGCAAAAAUUCUGGUAUGAUCUACAUUCUACUCCUGCAUGAAAACUGACAGAAUAUGUGUUUUAUUAAAGACAAAAUCUUACAAACAUAGUAAGCUAGACGUUCAGUUAGUUGACAUUAUUUUGAGUAUGGAAAAGUGGCUAGCUAUAUAUUGCCGAAUGUUUCGAAAAGAAUGUUACUGUUAACAUUCAGCUGUUUGGUUGCCUGAAAUGAGAAAAAAAAUGUAUGUAUUGCAUGAAACAUAACUAGAAUAAACCGUU